GUGCUCACUUGGGCUGCACAUAAGUUAAGAUUGGACCAAUAUAGAGAAGAUUGGCAUGGCCCCUGCACAAGGAUAAUGCAAAUUUGUGAAGUGUUCCGUAUUUUU